rnacentral:rRNA from 1 species
GAGCCCAGCGCAGAACGUUCCGGGGCACUCGCCCUGAGAAUGAAUGUUGCGUUAAGGAUAUUGGCAUACACCCAUGGCAGUUACACUUUGCUAAGUCAGCCUCGAAUGGUUCUCGUGAAGCCGGUAACACGGUGAGACUCCAGGGAGGGUGUUAGACCCGUGUGAAGGUGCAAUCUGCUUGGGCAAGCCGAUAUCCCGAGAGUCGCGUUGUUUGAACAUGCAGCGCUAAGCAGGUCGUAGACUCGAUCUAAGGCUAAAUAUGUCCACAGAACCGAUAGUUAACAAGUACCGUGAGGGAAAGUUGAAAAGCACUCCGUAACGGAGAGUCAAAAGACCGUGAAACCACUCAGAGUAUAAGCCAAUGGUGUCUGGAAGGUCCUGUGCUUACAUCUUGGUGUCAAGGACUCAUGCGAACCUCAGCACUUGCGGGAGCAAUCUCCGUUGCUUUGGUAAGCUUGUCCGCUGAAGCACUCCGUUGACCCACCUGGCUCGUUGUGAGGUGUCCUGAGAGCAAAGCGAAGUGUUAAGAUUGGCUUGGAGUUGGGCGUGGGCGUCUCGAUGCCUUUCGCACUCUCCUUUUCGAGCACUUCUUCAGUUCUAUUCGCACAAAGUGUGGUAGUCUUGGAGUGUGCGCUGCUUGACGCUCUCUGGAACCAUCCUCUGCGACGAAGCUUCAAUGCCUUAGUGAGCGGCCGUCUUCCUCCUCGGGAGUCGGUACAUUGGCGCGGCUUGCACACUGUCGGUGCUCCGCUGUUCAACUCUGGCGCAAGGUGUUACGUCCGAUACCAUUGGUCACGUCUCGAAACACGGGCCAAGGAGUAUAGCGUGUGUGCAAGUCUAAGGGUUCCACAAAACCUGGAGGCGUAGUGAAAGCGAGUUAUGGUGUCUCACUGGACUGAUGGAGAAGGCAGUGAUGCGUGAUCCCGCAAGUCCCGGACUCGUCGUCUGCACUGCUUCGGUUGUGUUAGCGCGAGCACCGCAGAGCACAUACGCUAUGACCCGAAAGAUAGUGAACUAUGCUUGGCGAGGGUGAAGCCCCAGGAAACUGGGGUGGAGGCCCGUAGCCGUUGUGACGUGCAAAUCC